GGUGCACUGAAGAUCGGGCCCUUCCUGGUGCCCUGGUCUCCUGCAUUGAGCUGUGUGAGCUCUUCCACAUGGAGGACCCCUGGCAUUGACUGGCAUAGGUGAGUGGCUGGCAUCAUGGGCCAUGAGCCAGGCCGCGUGAGGUCGCCAAGGGUCAGCCUUCAGGAAAGAAGGGUUUCCUCAGGGAGCCAACUUGAAUCCCCACUGGGAAGAGAUGGGUUCUCCAGGAGGGCGACUUCCUGGGAAACAGGAACCAAGGAGGUCGCCCUCCCUGAAGCCCUGCAGGGGUGAUGGUGGUCCAGGCAGGAAAGGGUUCCUUCAAUUCCACCCAGGGCAGCUCCCAGCUGAGGCUCGGUGCUUGCGUCUGGACUUAAGGACUGCCCUGGCCAUAUGAGGGGCGCCACAGUGGCUCUGGGGUGCCAUGGGGUCACACAGGCACUCUCUGUCCGUGGAGAAAGGUGGGUGAUCGGGCCCAUGGAGUUGAGCUGUUGAGAUGCAAAUUUUGCACCUGACACAUGGUCCUGAAUGGGACCCACCCUGUUGAGCAAUGGGCCAUCCCAUGGGCCUCUUCAAGCCUGAAGGGGGGCGGUGCUGUUUCACUGGGUUUAGGUCAAGGCUGAGCUCUGGCCGGCACCUGGUGGUGCUGCAGUCCAGCCCUUGGACUCGUGGGCUUUGGGCCAAGGGGGCAGCCUGCGUCCCACUGAAAGUCACCCCUUCCCUGUGGCUGGAAGUUAUCCCUUCCUCAUGGGCGAGUGUUGGGAAGGGUGGCCUCCUGAAGUGGGAAGGCCCGCUAUUGAGGGUCUGCUCCUGGCAAUUUGCUGCCCAUGCUGCUUCUGAGCCAUGGAGUCACCACCAGUGUGGUGGGGUCUUGGACCCGAAGAAAGGAGAAGACACUGUUCCCCCCCGAUUAGCUGAGUGUGGCCAGGCUGUGUGUUUGCGAGGUGUGAGGGGCAUGGAUGGAGACUCACCAGAGAAAGCAUGUGGCCCUGGGGCCCCAGGUUGUGGUUUCCAGUAUGUGCUUGGAUACAGCACAUGGCUGGGUGCCCACCAUGCACAGGGACUGGCUAUGUGACUGCCAGCUGUGCAGCAGCAUCAGGCAUAUGGGCCAGCCUCCUUGGUUGACCAUGAACUGGUUGCUGGCCCUGGCCUGUGCCCAGUAGUCCUGGGGUGACCCUGGUGUCAUGUAGGGGAGCUGGCAUGUGUAGUGGAGGUGCUCCUGUGGUCUGCAGUAGGGAGCAGCCCUGGCUUCUAGCCUGAGCCCAGUGACCUGCCUGUCCUAUCCUUUCAGGGUUCAGUGGCAGAGAGAGCAUCAGGUGGCCCACGUCUGUGAUGGGCCAGUAUUCCACAUGGAUCUCAUCACAUGGGUCCAUGGAAGGCGAGCAUACCUGAGCUGGCACACCCCACCUUCUGCCAGCAUGGAGGGGUGAGGUUGCGUUUGGCACCUGUCCUCUUCCUGUUCCUCGGAUGGUGACCCCAGUGGAGGACUUGCAUUGGGCCCACUGUCCCCGGGCCAGUGGCCAUCAGCCGGGUGCCUAGCCCCUGUUGCACUGAAGCUCGGGCCCUUCCUGUUGCCCUGGUCUCCUGCAUUGAGCUUGGGUGAGCCCAUCCGGUUGCCACUGGAUGCCUAAGCAGGGAGGGGGGUUCCCUGGGUUGGGUCGAUGAUGAGAACCUUACAUUGUUCUGAAGAGAGAUGAUGACUUAAAAAUCAUGCUCAAUAGGAUUACGCUGAGGCCCAGCCUAGGUGAGAAUUUUGGAAGAGGACGCUGGGAUCCCUAGGUCCCUGACAGGGCCACUGUAUUUUGGGCUGGAGACCUGGAGUCCUUGAAGGGCAUCUGGAGGGGGCCCAAACCUGUCUCUACGUUCCUCCAUGAGGCAGUCCAGGCUCCAUGUGCGAGCUUCGUGUCGGUGCUCAGAUUCCCCUUGGUGGUGCAUGUGGGUGGCUCAUCCCUGAGCCCCUGUUCUCCCCUUGUGUCUUUCAGUGAACUCUUCUGCCCAGGAGGACCCCUGGCCUUGAGCAGCAUAGAUGGUGAGCACAGAGGAAGGAUUGCGUUAGGCCCUUUGGCCCCGGACCAGUGUCUG